UACGUAGGGGGCGAGCGUUGUCCGGAUUUAUUGGGCGUAAAGAGCUCGUAGGCGGUUUGGUAAGUCGGGUGUGAAAUCUCCACGCUCAACGUGGAGGGGCCACUCGAUACUGCCAUGACUCGAGUCCGGUAGAGGAGUGUGGAAUUCCCGGUGUAGCGGUGAAAUGCGCAGAUAUCGGGAGGAACACCGGUGGCGAAGGCGGGUCUCUGGGCAGUAACUGACGCUGAGGCGCGAAAGCCAGGGGAGCAAACGGG
rnacentral:rRNA from 1 species